AACGCGAAGAACCUUACCAGGUCUUGACAUCCUCGGAAUUUGGCAGAGAUGCCUUAGUGCCUUCGGGAGCCGAGUGACAGGUGCUGCAUGGCCGUCGUCAGCUCGUGUCGUGAGAUGUUGGGUUAAGUCCCGUAACGAGCGCAACCCUUGUCCCUAUUUGCCAGCGAUUCGGUCGGGAACUCUAGGGAGACUGCCGGUGACAAACCGGAGGAAGGUGGGGACGACGUCAGGUCAUCAUGGCCCUUACGAGUAGGGCUACACACGUGCUACAAUGGCCGGUACAAUGGACUGCAAUCCCGCGAGGGGGAGCUAAUCUCAUAAAGCCGGUCUCAGUCCGGAUCGGAGUCUGCAACUCGACUCCGUGAAGUCGGAAUCGCUAGUAAUCGUGAAUCAGAAUGUCACGGUGAAUACGUUCCCGGGUCUUGUACACACCG
rnacentral:rRNA from 1 species